rnacentral:rRNA from 1 species
GACGAACGCUGGCGGCGUGCCUAAUACAUGCAAGUUGAGCGAUGAAGAUUGGUGCUUGCACCAAUUUGAAGAGCAGCGAACGGGUGAGUAACGCGUGGGGAAUCUGCCUUUGAGCGGGGGACAACAUUUGGAAACGAAUGCUAAUACCGCAUAAUAACUUUAAACAUAAGUUUUAAGUUUGAAAGAUGCAAUUGCAUCACUCAAAGAUGAUCCCGCGUUGUAUUAGCUAGUUGGUGAGGUAAAGGCUCACCAAGGCGAUGAUACAUAGCCGACCUGAGAGGGUGAUCGGCCACAUUGGGACUGAGACACGGCCCAAACUCCUACGGGAGGCAGCAGUAGGGAAUCUUCAGCAAUGGACGAAAGUCUGACCGAGCAACGCCGCGUGAGUGAAGAAGGUUUUCGGAUCGUAAAACUCUGUUGGUAGAGAAGAACGUUGGUGAGAGUGGAAAGCUCAUCAAGUGACGGUAACUACCCAGAAAGGGACGGCUAACUACGUG